rnacentral:rRNA from 1 species
UACGUAGGGGGCGAGCGUUGUCCGGAGUUCCUGGGCGUAAAGCGCCCGCAGGCUGUCUGCUAAGUUUGGAGUGACAGUUGGUGGCUUAACUGCCAAAGUGCUUCGAAAACUGACAGACUUGAGGGCUUCAGAGGGACACGGAAUUCCGGGUGGAGUGGUGAAAUGCGUAGAGAUCCGGAGGAACACCAAAGGCGAAGGCAGUGUCCUGGGGAGUACCUGACGCUCAGGUGCGAAAGCCAGGGGAGCGAACGGG